UACUGCUAUAUAAGGCGCGCGUGAAGGCGGACACGGUCUCUUUGGCUCGGCACACUGCGACGUGGAGAACUUGGCUCUCUCAUGGCCGACGACUCCAUCCUCGUGCAUCGCCGUGCAAGGCGCAUCAUCGGCCUGAGAAGAGGCAGGGCGACUUGAUUGAAGAUUUAAGAUGUACGGGUUUUUACCAAGACGCCCUCCGAGGUACAAAAGGAGGAUGCUUCAAUUUGAAGUUUGAAGAUGUGAAGAACAUCCUGCAUUUGUAGCCCUAGUGGUGGCUUCAACGACCACAGGUCCUGGUGCUUGCUGGAUAGCAUUUGCGUAGAGUUCAUAAGCUCAAGGUAUGGAAGACUGAAGCAAACUCCACUUGAAUGUGCUGCUGUUUCAACUUUACAACUGUUCAUGAAAUUGCACGUGGCUGGUUUCAAUAAUUUUUUUUGUCUUCGAACAAAUAAAACUGAUUUUUAUA